rnacentral:rRNA from 1 species
YUUUYKSRWWMRCCCUUAGAGUUUGAUCCUGGCUCAGAACGAACGCUGGCGGCGUGCUUAACACAUGCAAGUCGAACGUGAUCCAGAGCUUGCUCUGGUGAAAGUGGCGCACGGGUGAGUAACGCGUGGAUAACCUGCCCUGGUAUCCGGAAUAACAUCUCGAAAGGGGUGCUAAUACCGGAUAAGCCUACGGGGUCUUCGGACUCUGCAGGAAAAGGAGGCCUCUAUUUAUAAGCUUCCGUAUCAUGAUGGGUCCGCGUACCAUUAGCUAGUUGGUGGGGUAAUGGCCUACCAAGGCGACGAUGGUUAGCUGGUCUGAGAGGAUGAUCAGCCACACUGGAACUGAGACACGGUCCAGACUCCUACGGGAGGCAGCAGUGGGGAAUUUUGCGCAAUGGGGGAAACCCUGACGCAGCAACGCCGCGUGAGUGAUGAAGGCUUUCGGGUCGUAAAGCUCUGUCAGAGGGGAAGAAAUGAGUCUGGCUAAUAUCCAGAUUUCUUGACGGUACCCUCAAAGGAAGCACCGGCUAACUCCGUGCCAGCAGCCGCGGUAAUAC